CCUCGCAGCCUUGCAGUCGGUGGCGGAGCAGUACGAAGAUGUGGCGGAGGCGAGGAGAACCAUUAAUCCCAUUAAUCUCUUGAUCUAUCGAACGCCGUCGUCGACGUUCUUCCCUCGUUGUACAUCAUAUAUAAUAUUAUACGCGGCUGCUGCUUUAGCAGUAUCGGCCUAGGUAUUAUAAUAUUAUAUAUACUUACAAUCGGGUAUUAGUGCUGGUCGUUCCUCUUGGUUUUUCUUCAACCCACUUCGUGUUCGACACCUGCUGCUUGCGUAUAAGCACCAUCAGUCCGACAGCGGUGGUGGGCAAGAGCACUCGACGAUGCGUUUUACCCCUUCGUAGACGACGAUGCAUUGACGGCUGUUCAGUCAAGAGCAUUAUUAAGUAUUAUCAUUAGGUAUUAUGCACGUUCAGGACCGCAAGCACGCACAUACGCGCGCUCACACACUGGGUACCAAUGGUACCGUGGAAAUGUGUGUUUCAUCUGUAGACUGAAUAAACUGACAAAAUAAACAUCGUAAUCACGGUGGAUGUACGUAAGGA